GAUGAACGCUGGCGGCGUGCCUAAUACAUGCAAGUCGAGCGAACAGAUGAGGGGCUUGCUCCUCUGACGUUAGCGGCGGACGGGUGAGUAACACGUGGAUAACCUACCUAUAAGACUGGGAUAACUUCGGGAAACCGGAGCUAAUACCGGAUAAUAUAUUGAACCGCAUGGUUCAAUAGUGAAAGACGGUUUUGCUGUCACUUAUAGAUGGAUCCGCGCCGCAUUAGCUAGUUGGAAGGUAACGGCUUACCAAGGCAACGAUGCGUAGCCGACCUGAGAGGGUGAUCGGCCACACUGGAACUGAGACACGGUCCAGACUCCUACGGGAGGCAGCAGUAGGGAAUCUUCCGCAAUGGGCGAAAGCCUGACGGAGCAACGCCGCGUGAGUGAUGAAGGUCUUCGGAUCGUAAAACUCUGUUAUUAGGGAAGAACAAAUGUGUAAGUAACUAUGCACGUCUUGACGGUACCUAAUCAGAAAGCCACGGCUAACUACGUG
rnacentral:rRNA from 1 species